UUGGUUUCGCUUUAUUUUGUUCUUAUAUAUUUAUUUUCGUGUUUAAAUAUGAGUAAAACUAUUAAAAGUGGAGUUCGAGAGACAUUGUUCUGCAUGAUAUCCAAAUUCCAAGAAAAAGGAGUUGAAUUCUACCAAAAGACAAGAUUGUUUACGUGUGGUGUUGAAUAUCUUAAGAAAUCUGGAGGAUGUAGAAGGAGUCAAUGUAAUAGUGAGAACUAUUGGUGUUAGUGUAAUAUCCAUAUACAGAAUAAAAAAGAAGCGACAACAAAUCAAUGUGUCUGAAGUAAAUAAAAAUAUUAAAUUGACUACGGAGCAGUUAGAACAAGUGAUUAAAGAGUCAUUUGAAAACGUAAUGGCAGAAGAGUGGAAGAAAAUGACUGCUCAUGUUGUACAUAUAGAAAAUAAUUAUAAAGAAAGGGACAGAACAACAGAUGAACAUUUAGAGACAUUGAUGACAGCAAUGACUCUGAUGAAUCUAUGCAUAUUUAUUUUUGGAUUCUGAUUUUGAUUAUUCUGAAUUAAGUUGUGUUUUAUA